AGUGAACGCUGGCGGUAGGCCUAACACAUGCAAGUCGAACGGCAGCACAGUAAGAGCUUGCUCUUACGGGUGGCGAGUGGCGGACGAGUGAGGAAUACAUCGGAAUCUACUUUUUCGUGGGGGAUAACGUAGGGAAACUUACGCUAAUACCGCAUACGACCUACGGGUGAAAGCAGGGGAUCUUCGGACCUUGCGCGAUUGAAUGAGCCGAUGUCGGAUUAGCUAGUUGGCGGGGUAAAGGCCCACCAAGGCGACGAUCCGUAGCUGGUCUGAGAGGAUGAUCAGCAACACUGGAACUGAGACACGGUCCAGACUCCUACGGGAGGCACCAGUGGGGAAUAUUGGACAAUGGGCGCAAGCCUGAUCCAGCCAUACCGCGUGGGUGAAGAAGGCCUUCGGGUUGUAAAGCCCUUUUGUUGGGAAAGAAAAGCAGCAGGUUAAUACCCCGCUGUUCUGACGGUACCCAAAGAAUAAGCACCGGCUAACUUCGUG
rnacentral:rRNA from 1 species